rnacentral:lncRNA from 1 species
CCACAGUAGGAAGGGAGUUAACUCUCACGUAUACUUAGGAUAGCUUAGCCAGAAGCUGAAUACUAGAAAUACAUCUCCACCCAAUCCUAAGCCCUUUGAUCAUCAUCCGAUGACUCAAUUGGUCUAGUUAUUCUACUUCUCGUUCCCCAUGGAAAAUACGAUACCUGGAAUACUCCUGGUUAAGUGCUACAUUGACCACCAUCUGCUUGUGGUAAAACCAUUUGCCACUUCUGGUGUCACACAAGCAUUUCUCGUGUUGUGCCAAGGACUGACAAUCCUAGGUAGUGACGCUAAGAAGAGUCAACAAGCAUUUCUAGCGUCGUUGCGGGGAACGAUAGCUGGUUAACUAGACUCAAAGUCAUCCGAGUUAUUCCUCUUUUAUUUUUCUUUUCUUUUUAUCCUUUCCACUGCAUGUUUGCAUAAUGUUGCAUAAAUCUAGUGCUUUCUUGGGUAGCUCCUAGUCUUUGAGUUGUAAUCGGGCAUCAUGCCUAGUCUAGAUAGACAACAAUUUAAUUGUUGUCUACCUAUUUGGGCUCCUAGUCUAGCUUGUGGCAGUCGAAUGUUAAACGGGAACAUCAUAGCUCAUAUAUCGGCCUUAAUAGUUGGUAUGAUGCUGUCCUUUGGAUGGGCCACGCCAGAGGAAAAAGCUAAAGUCUAGAUCUUCAUGCAUAUCACUCAUUUUUUUCUUUAUUUUAACCACAA